AUCUUCCGCAAUGGGCGAAAGCCUGACGGAGCAACGCCGCGUGAGUGAUGAAGGUCUUCGGAUCGUAAAACUCUGUUGUUAGGGAAGAACAAAUUUGUUAGUAACUGAACAAGUCUUGACGGUACCUAACCAGAAAGCCACGGCUAACUACGUGCCAGCAGCCGCGGUAAUACGUAGGUGGCAAGCGUUAUCCGGAAUUAUUGGGCGUAAAGGGCGCGUAGGCGGUUUCUUAAGUCUGAUGUGAAAGCCCACGGCUCAACCGUGGAGGGUCAUUGGAAACUGGGAAACUUGAGUGCAGAAGAGGAGAGUGGAAUUCCAUGUGUAGCGGUGAAAUGCGCAGAGAUAUGGAGGAACACCAGUGGCGAAGGCGGCUCUCUGGUCUGUAACUGACGCUGAUGUGCGAAAGCGUGGGGAUCAAACAGG
rnacentral:rRNA from 1 species